UGAAACUGUUCCCAAACGCGAACAGUUUAAUGACCUUUCCAUUGACCUGCCCCGAAGAAAGAAACCACUACCUCCUCGGUCAAUCCAAGAUUCUCUUGAUCUUUUCUUUAGGGCAGAAGAACUUGAAUAUUCCUGUGAGAAGUGUGGUGGGAAGUCUGCUAUUGUCACGCAUAAGUUCAACAGACUCCCCAGGGUCCUUAUUCUUCAUCUGAAACGAUACAGCUUCAAUGUGGCCCUCUCACUCAACAACAAGGUUGGACAGCAAGUGGUUAUUCCAAGAUAUUUAACUUUAUCAUCCCAUUGCACUGAAAAUACAAAACCUCCCCUUACUCUGGGUUGGAGUGCACAUAC